AAAUGAAAAUUUACCAGUGUGCAGAUUCCCAGGCUGCAAUCAAGAACUGCUGGAUCUCUGUUUUCAAGAGAGAACUUCAUCAUGUUAAAGGUUAUUGUUUUAUCAAUAUCUGAAGGGAACCUGAAAAAGCUGAUCUACUGGGAUGCAUAAAAUCUGGAAACUGACCCUCAGGUCAGGAACUGAAACUUACCAGCUCACGCAUCCAGCCAAUGAGAAGUAAAACCCCUCAUUCAUCACGAUUGCUUCCUUACCCCUCCGUAAUUCCUGUUUUCCUGUACAUAGCUAAUACAUUCCUUACCUGCUGUACAAAUCUCCAAUAUAUUCAGUUGAGUUACACAGGUUUGAGGUUUGGCUCCCACCUCUACAGCUGACGUCACCCAAAUGAAAAGCCUGCUUCCCUGGCAAUACUUGUUGUCUUGGUGAUUGGUUUCCUGUGCUGCAAACAUUUGAGACCUAGAUGGAACCCCUGGCAUUUCAGUAACAACGUUUACAAUUUUUAUAUUGUAACAGAGUAACAAUGUUAGUCAUUUAUCUAUGACACAUAGAAGAGAGCAGAUAGAACUCCAUGUCGUGGUAAUAUGACAGAAGGAGGAAAAGAUGGUUGCAGCUGUGUUCAAGUUUGCAGAUUUUGUGUUAAGAUAAAGACAAAGCUACCGUCUGGGGACCUCUAUAUUAUUCAAUCUGAGGAGAAUAAUAGAGGUUGUGUAAUAAGUUUGAGGAUAUGAGAGUACGAUACUAUAUAGCCAGCCUUUCCUCUCACAUUUUAAGUUUCAUCUUUCAUGCCACCUCUUGCAAUGCUAUCUCCCGCCAGAGGCCUUCCCUGGUCACACUAUCCCAUGUACUAUGUAACCCCACUCCCAACUAGUCUACUGCUUGAUUUAUUUCCUUCACAACACUUUUCACUAUGUUAGUUUAUUUACUUAUUGUCUUUUUGCCCUAGUGUUUUGUUGGUUCAACUGGACAAAGGAUGCUGAACUUGUUCAUAUCUAUUUCGAUUAUCUUAAUUUCCAUUAGAACUUAAGGUAAUAUUUAUUAAAAAAAAACAGUGAUUAUAGGCUGAAAGGUAAAAGAAGAUGGGGGAACUUUCUUUCUUGAUCAAAUGAUAGGUUUCACAGCAGAGAAAAAUUUCUUUGGGGAGGAAAUAGGAAGUUAUCGUCUACGUUGCUAAGAGUGGGAGUGGUGGGGGGAAGGAGAGGGACAGUUCAGUGACAACAGCAACUGAAAUUCAGCUGAAUAGCCAGGGGAGUCAUAGCCUGAGCAGCCUCUCGUGGAGCAAGCCACAACCACUCUGAGCCUUGGUUUACUCUGACAUGAAAAGAUUUUAGGUGGUCUCUAAGACCUCCAGCCUCUUAAAUAACAUGGUGAUUCUUUUUACUCUGUUUUGCCAUUGCAUCUUGUGUGUAUCUGUAUAAUAAAUUUUGCCACAUUCCUUCACCCUUGCUUUGUGCAUAUACGGUACUUGUUUAUUCUCUUCAC
rnacentral:lncRNA from 1 species